rnacentral:rRNA from 1 species
GACGAACGCUGGCGGCGUGCCUAAUACAUGCAAGUAGAACGCUGAAGAGAGGAGCUUGCUCUUCUUGGAUGAGUUGCGAACGGGUGAGUAACGCGUAGGUAACCUGCCUUGUAGCGGGGGAUAACUAUUGGAAACGAUAGCUAAUACCGCAUAACAAUGGAUGACACAUGUCAUUUAUUUGAAAGGGGCAAUUGUUCCACUACAAGAUGGACCUGCGUUGUAUUAGCUAGUAGGUGAGGUAAUGGCUCACCUAGGCGACGAUACAUAGCCGACCUGAGAGGGUGAUCGGCCACACUGGGACGGAGACACGGCCCAGACGCCUACGGGAGGCAGCAGUAGGGAAUCUUCGGCAAGGGGGGCAACCCUGACCGAGCAACGCCGCGUGAGGGAAGAAGGUUUUCGGAUCGUAAAGCUCUGUUGUAAGUCAAGAACGGGUGUGAGAGUGGAAAGUUCACACUGUGACGGUAGCUUACCAGAAAGGGACGGCUAACUACGUG